GGAAAGGUGAAAAGAACCCCGGGAGGGGAGUGAAAUAGAACCUGAAACCGUAUGUCUACAAGCAGUCGAAGCACCUUAAGAGUGCGACGGCGUGCCUAUUGAAGAAUGAACCGGCGAGUUACAUUAUGUUGCGAGGUUAAGUGGGAGACACGGAGCCGAAGCGAAAGCGAGUCUUAAUAGGGCGACUAGUAACAUGGUGUAGACCCGAAACCGCAGUGAUCUAUCCAUGGUCAGGUUGAAGCGCAGGUAAAAAUGCGUGGAGGACCGAACCCGUGAGUGUUGAAAAACUUUGGGAUGAACCGUGGAUAGGGGUGAAAUGCCAAUCGAACGCGGAGAUAGCUGGUACUCCCCGAAAUAGCUUUAGGGCUAGCCUCAGGGAAGAUUAUAGACGGUAGAGCACUGAUCUGGCAAGGGGGCGUAAAGCCUACCGACCCUAGUCAAACUUCGAAUGGCUAUAAUUAAGACCCUGGGAGUCAGACUGCGAGUGAUAAGACCCGUAGUCAAGAGGGAAACAGCCCAGACCGCCGACUAAGGUCCCCAAUGCUGUACUAAGUGGAAAAGGAUGUAAGACUUCAUAAACAACCAGGAUGUUGGCUUAGAAGCAGCCACCAUUAAAAGAGUGCGUAAUAGCUCACUGGUCGAGAGGCCUUGCGCCGAAGAUGUCCGGGGCUCAAGUACAGAACCGAAGUCGCGGCAGGAUUUAUAAUUCUGGGUAGGGGAGCGUUGUAUAUCCGACUGAAGGUGUACCGGAAGGAGCGCUGGAGGAUAUACAAGAGAGAAUGCCGGUAUGAGUAGCGAAAAGAACAGUGAGAAUCUGUUCCACCGAAAGCCUAAGGUUUCCUGAGCAACGCUCGUCGACUCAGGGUAAGUCGGGACCUAAGCCGAGGCAAAAAGCAUAGGCGAUGGACAACAGGUUAAUAUUCCUGUACCGCUUCAAAUCGUUUGAGCAAUGGAGUGACACAGAAGGUAGCUUGAGCACGCGAAUGGAUGUGCGUGUCGAAGGUGGUAGGUUGCAGUAUAGGCAAAUCCGUACUGUAUAAGACCGAGAACUGAUAGAUAGACGAUACUUCGGUAAAGUCAAAUUCAAGUGAGCCAUGCUGUCGAGAAAAGCUUCUAGUGAGAGAUGAGGCGCCCGUACCGAAACCGACACAGGUAGGCGGGGAGAGAAUCCUAAGGUGCGCGGGACAACCCUCGUUAAGGAACUCGGCAAAUUGUAUCCGUAACUUAGGGAUAAGGAUAGCCGGAGGAUGUGAAGGGAUUUACUUCUGGAGCGUCAGCCGGUGGCACAAGAGAGGCCCAAGCGACUGUUUAGCACAAACACAGGUGCCUGCAAAAGAGAAAUCUGACGUAUAGGUGCUGACACCUGCCCGGUGCUGGAAGGUUAAGAGGAGGGCUUAGAGGCAACUCGAAGGCUUGAAUUGAAGCCCCAGUAAACGGCGGCCGUAACUAUAACGGUCCUAAGGUAGCGAAAUUCCUUGUCGGGUAAGUUCCGACCCGCACGAAAGGUGUAACGACUUGGGCACUGUCUCAACGAGGGACCCGGUGAAAUUGAAGUACCUGUGAAGAUGCAGGUUACCCGCGACUGGACAGAAAGACCCCAUGGAGCUUUACUGCAACCUGACAUUGAUGUUCGGUAAAUAACGUACAGGAUAGGUGGGAGACGGAGAAGUAUUGGCGUUAGCUGAUAUGGAGUCAACCUUGGGAUACCACCCUUUAUUUAUUGGACCUCUAACUGAAGAAGUAACGACUCUCAGGACAGUAUCAGGCGGGCAGUUUGACUGGGGCGGUCGCCUCCCAAAAUGUAACGGAGGCGCCCAAAGGUUCCCUCAGCGCGAACGGAAACCGCGCAAAGAGUGUAAAGGCAGAAGGGAGCUUGACUGCGAGUCAGACACGACGAGCAGGUACGAAAGUAGGGCUUAGUGAUCCGGUGGUUCCGAGUGGAAGGGCCAUCGCUC
rnacentral:rRNA from 1 species